GCCGCGUUCCUUCAUCGCACACAUACACACUGUAUGUAGUUUGUUUCUACUACAUCCAAACACCGGAUUAGUCCACCGCUGAAAAUAGUUCCCAUCCGGGUGUCCCGCUGCUUCGGGAAGCGCUUCAAAAGUACGGAGAGACGAACUAAAUCGUCGCUGGAUUUGAUGUUUGUUGAAAAUACGAGCAAUUAUUUUUCUACAUAAAUGUUUUUGAAAAUACUUUUUUUUUUACUACGUUUUCUGCCUUUUAGCUGUUGACUUCCUGCCAGUGAAGUUCAGAAAUGUAGUUGACGCUGACCUUUGACCUGAUGAUUCCUCCUUUGGGAAUCUACUGAAUGUCCCAUAAACAGAGACUUCCUGGCUGAUUGUGUCGUGGCGCUGCGGGGGACAAAAAAGGAAACACGUGGAGAUCCAAUAAAUUCUUUUUAUCGAUUUUCCAAUAAAAAAUACAUUCAUACAGAAACUAUUUUACAAAACAAUUUCAAAUGAAAAAAUCUUGUUAUGCCAUAAAACAAACAAAAAUAGAGCCUCGUAUUCUCAUCUCCGUGGUUAUCCGAUAAAGAUUCUCAAGCUAAAGAGUCUUUAAAAAGUUGAGAAAAAGAUCACAUGGCAAAAAAAAACAAAAAACAUAACACUUAGCGAGCAACAGAAUGCAGAAUUAUAACAAUUCAAGUGUCCAGAACAAUUCACAUCUGAAAAGUCUUUUUUUUGUCUUGUUUUGCGUUUUCUUGAAAGAUGACAGGCCACAGGUGUUUUUACGCAAACGAUGCCCUUUUCUUUCUUCUUUUUAAACGUACAUUUGCUUCACCGUCCAAUCAAAAGCUGAUCAAGAACAAAGGUGUUAAGAGAAGCGAAUGAGGGGGGGAAGGAGUGAGUCAUUUUUACAAUAAUUCUUCAGGCUCUCGUCUUUACUGCUCUCGAAACAACACACUGCGCUCGUUUUUUUUGGUCCCAUACCCUUUCAAAAUAGAAGCUUCCUUACAAAAUUCUCUUAGUUUACAAUGUACAUGUCUUUGCAUUCUUGGUAUUCUCAGUGUAUGGACUUUCUUUAACGCUGCCCACGUUCACCUGCACAGAUCAACGGACGAUCGACCCCUUAAAACCGGCCGUACCUUUCAUAGCCGAUCGGGAUCUUUGUCAACACUUUCAUGAGCCUUUCAAUUUCAAACAAAAGUCAAAGCUCAUCUAAUUGUGAAUUUAAAAAAAAAAAAAAAACCUCUCAAAAAGUCCAGGGAGGAGCGCGUCGAAGUCGAGGAACUCAAGUUAAAACGCGGAUGUGGUGAAGGUGUUACGGACAAACGUGUCUCCUCUCAGGUCGGACGAGGACAGAAACCUCCUGACCUGCAGCACGAGUCCCAGCUGAACCGGUCGGGCGGUUUUCUUUUUCGUACCGCUUGUUCAGAUCACGGGUUGUUUCAACCACACCGAUUGGCCCGAGGGGCGAGACUCUCCAAAAACACACAACAUCAAAACACACUCGCGAUGGAGAAAGUCGUCAUCGCUUCGGCGGGACUCCUUUCCUUUAGAGACUUUUUCGACACAUGAACGGCGACGUGGAAACACCUUCUUUGCGGUUAAAAUCCUAAUCUGUCACAGCCUCGGUGGCCGGGCCGGCCACGUUUUCAUGAGAACAUAUUUCCAAAACUCUGUACCCUUGACGGCGAGUAUCCUCGCCAAUUUGUACUACACAGUAGUAACUCUUUACAAAACUGAGUUGCUUUUUCGAGUGCUCCAAGAUUCUGUCCGGGACCUGGAUCCUUUUUUGGGGUGAAUUAUUUAGUCUAGAUAAUAGUUAUAACGAUAUGUUCAACAGAGAAAUUGCCAGUCAUUAUCAAGAUGAUGUUUAGCCGUUUUCUGUAUUGUUAUUAGUUAGGAGGAAUCGGUUGCCAGACAAAAGGGGCGAAGGUGCGACUGCACGGAACAGAGCCUUUUUAAAAAAAAAGCAAUUCAAUAACCGCAACCCGCAGAUGUGUGUGUGUGUGUGUGAGAAAGAGAUCUAUCUUACAGGACAAGGCCACUUACAUAAGGCAUCAGUAAGGUCAACAGUGCAUUUACAGGUAGAACAAAAGACAAGAGCAAAAGUGAAGAAACAAAUCCCACAAUCAAGAAAGUUGCCAAGCAACAGUGGUAUCCCCAGAUCCCAUGCGAGUCCUGUUAUAAUGGCAUAACUGUUUUGUGUACAACCGUUUUUUUUUUUUGUAAUUUCGUUUUUUAGGAUACAAAGUUUACACAAUGGACAACAAAAUGAGCUUAAUAGCGUGUAUGCUUUUAAGACAGGCUACGUAAUACAUUGCACUUUUAAUAGCUGCACUAAACUAAACGACCUCCCGUGUUUUUUGGAAAAAAUCAAAAGGGGGGGGUGGAGGGGUGGCCGCAGUUUUGUCGCCUCCGGGCAGAAAGGGGGCGCUCUUCUCUCUGCUGGCACGGUGUUGUUGUUGUUGUUGUUUGCAUUCAUUGUCAGUGAGACCACGGGUACCCCCCCCCCAAAAAAAAAUCUCCCUCCCCCUUUUCUAACAUCCGUGUCAUUCACCCGCUGUUCCACAAUGCAAGCUCCAUCCGCUCCAUGAAAGCCGGCACAGGCGUCCAGUCUCAG
ensembl:lncRNA